GCAGUUUGUGAGCUACUCUCAAUUUGGCCUGUCCAAAUUUUUUUUUCCAAAAAGUUUCAAAAUUUAUGUAAAUUUCGUUUCGUGUUCUUUGGAUAAAGUGUAAUCAUGCCAGGCAAAAAGCGAAGCUCUUCCAAAAAAUCAGCUAACUCCUCCACGCCGGUUGCCAACGAAUCGGAAGCGACUAGCCCGGAGGGUACACCAGCAGAUGCUACCAAAGCUGCUGAAAAGGAGGCGAAGAAGAGCAGAACCAAGAGCAAGUCAAAAUCCAAAAGCAAGAAGGAUUAAAACAAACCAAAGAAUUGACUGGACAAAUGAUAAACACAAAAAAUAUUUGAGGACUUUAAAAAUUUACAAGUAAUAGAAUCAAGGAAAAUACGCCUUGCGUAUUGAAGAUGCAGAACCGAUUGACUUGACGACGAUGUAUUUGGAAAAUAUAUGUUCGAUCUUAGCAAGAACUUGUUCAGCAAUUCUCAUUACACGUCCAGGAAAAGGUCGCAAUUGUAAUUGAACAUUCAAAAGCCGGCAUGUCAAGCCGUUUAAUACCUGCUCUAAUUCAAGGCGUUGGAACUAUGAAACGAGCGACGAUUGCAACUUGCUUAAUUAGUAGGUCCCUGAAGAUCAAAGUUAUGCAGAAAUUGAACCAAACGGCCGGAAUGAAUGAAAUUUACGUAUUUAACAGCACUGGAAACUAAAUUCUUUAAUUUUACCGAACUCACAAUUAAAUAAGGCUAGCAUACAUAA
rnacentral:sRNA from 1 species